rnacentral:rRNA from 1 species
GAGUAAUGCCUAGGAAAUUGCCCUGAUGUGGGGGAUAACCAUUGGAAACGAUGGCUAAUACCGCAUGAUGCCUACGGGCCAAAGAGGGGGACCUUCGGGCCUCUCGCGUCAGGAUAUGCCUAGGUGGGAUUAGCUAGUUGGUGAGGUAAGGGCUCACCAAGGCGACGAUCCCUAGCUGGUCUGAGAGGAUGAUCAGCCACACUGGAACUGAGACACGGUCCAGACUCCUACGGGAGGCAGCAGUGGGGAAUAUUGCACAAUGGGCGCAAGCCUGAUGCAGCCAUGCCGCGUGU